rnacentral:rRNA from 1 species
UACGGGGGGGGGCAAGCGUUGUUCGGAAUUACUGGGCGUAAAGGGCUCGUAGGCGGCCAACUAAGUCGGAUGUGAAAUCCCCAGGCUUAACCUGGGAACUGCAUCCGAUACUGGAUGGCUUGAAUCCGGGAGAGGGAUGCGGAAUUCCAGGUGUAGCGGUGAAAUGCGUAGAUAUCGGGAGGAACAUCAGUGGCGAAGGCGGCCUUCUGGUCCAGUACUGACACUCAAGUGCGAAAGCGUGGGGAGCAAACAGG